rnacentral:lncRNA from 1 species
ACAAGUGUGUAUAGAUCUAUACGGGGCUGACAACUCCGCACCCUGACUGUUAGCUACAGUCCGUCAUUUGGGGUGACAAACGUCAACAUUAGGUACUGCGUCUAGUAUGGUUAUGAGGAACUCACAACACGCGGAAACAAUGACUCAUGCACGUAGUAAUACUUAACUCAAUCAUGCUCGAGGGGUAAUAACUAUAUUCUAGGGUAUUAUCGGCAUGAUCAAAACUCAGGUUAAAACACUUCCACAACUAGUUUUACUUAACAAUAAGACUACACUUCAUACUUACAAAACAUUCGGGUCUUGGUAGAAGACUACACUUCAUACUUACAAAACAUUCGGGUCUUGGUAGAAGACUACACUUCAUACGUACAGAACAUUCGGGUCUUGGUAGAAGACUACAUUUCAUACUUAUAGGAAAAUAAGGGAUUUUUCCUGGUUCAAAUACAUUCAUUUUGUACAAUAACGAUUUACAACAUCAUUCUUUUGAGCAUGUCAUAGUUUCUUAUAGCUUACAGUCUUGGUCAUUUGAGACUGCAUUUCACUUUUAGGAAAAUAAGGGAUUUUCCUGGUUCAAAUACAUAUAGUACAUACAACAAUCUUUCAAACUCAUUUCAUACAUCUAAUAGAAAAUAAGGGAUUUUCUGGAAAACAUACAAGCACUUUCGAAUGGCAUACAUUUUCUCAAAACACCACUUAUGAACUCACCAACUUAAAUGUUGACACUUUUUCUUUGAAAUAACUUGUAUUCUCAGGAAACCGCUAGACCAGGUAGCAACUACUUUUGAAGACUAACGCGCUGGCGUUAGUAACAUAUUUUGGAUCACCAUAUUGUAUUUGAUUUCUUUUGCAAACAUGUAACAUAUACAAUCAUGUAAACUUUUCAAAUAUAUUUAUAUUAUGGUGGUGUGUACUUUCUUUACUAUUCAAUUGUUAUGAUAUUUGACAUGACGUCCUCCGCCCCCGAACGUUUCCGCCGUUCUGGUUUGGGGGUGUGACAGAUUGGUAUCAGAGCAUUGUUUAUAGUGAAUUAAGUAUAUCAAAACCAUUUUGGUAUACGACUAUAAACACAACUGGGCAAAAACACUCUGAGUAAGAGUCAUACUUUUAAAAUUAAAUUUAUUUAGUUUUGUAAAGUAGGCAUGCAUUCAUUUCAUAUUAAUAACAUGGUCAGUAUCAUAACUAAAACAAUAUAGAAGUAUUAUAAAUAAGUUGUGCAGUGCAGGUAUGCCUUGGGACAUGUAAUCGGAACUGGGAAGAAUAUAGCCUGAUCAACUAUAUUUGUCCAAGAGCCGACUAACGUAUGCCAAGGAGUGUCUGCAAUGGACAACAAAUUUAAAACUUACCAAACUUAUAAACUUUAGAAUCAAACAUAACAUUUAGAAUACUAUAGGAGUAUUUUAUGCAUACGAUAGUUUAACUUUGAUGUCAACCUUAUGUGCCUUAGUUCUAGACAAUCCUUAUCUCCCUAUUCUCGUACAAACACAAUGGCUGGAUUUCCACCUAGCAGGAGACCCCUACUACCCAUACCAGUAGACCCUUUCACUUUAACCAUCGACUAACGAAACUCGAUCGAUUUAUCACGACAAACCCGACACUAACCCCAAUUGGUUUCAAGUUUCAAAACCCCGAGGUACUCAUGUGAGGAGUACUAUAUCUUUACAACCUUCCCGUAGUAUCCCCCAACAGAUCAUUUAGAAAUACCACACAUACAACGAGUCAAAUCCAAGCUCAGAAACUAGGAGUGAAUUCAACCAUGAACUUCAAAACGUAGCUGCCCUAAUGCAUCGAGUGAAUAUUCUAACAUUUAGAAGAACAUAAGUAAAUAAACCCAAAACCACACGAUCCCGAUCGAUCGAAGUGAUAGGCGGAGUAAUGAAGGUCCGCUGAAACACGCACGUUAGGAUCUAGAUUCAUAAAGGAACAAGAGGAACAAAUCGACCAGAAGCACUCUCGCCUGCCCGCAAGAAUUGGAGUCCCAGUCAAAAUGCGAAUUUCGGGACGAAAUUCUCUCUAACGGGGGGAUAAUGUAACAACAGCAAAAUUCAGGUCAAAAUUUAAACUUUUAUAAAACCGUAAUUGAGUAUACUAAGUGGUAAAUAUCGUAACAAGGUUUUCAUACAUAUAAAGAACACAAAAAUCCGAGUUAUAACGAGGAAGUUAUAACCAUUCUAAAAUUCCCGACAAAACCGGCAACACCGAUUAAACGAAAAACGCGAAGUUUAAUACAAUAGUUUUUAGCCUUAAGUAUCUAAAUAAAAGUUAUAGAUAACAUCAAACCGUGAGCGUACAUAAAAAGAACGUCCAAAUCUGACUUCGUAUGAGGAAGUUAUGAUUUUUCCAAGGUUCGGGUAUAGCAGUAGACAGCUAAAAACUCGAAAUAGAGCUCGAGAUACUUUUGACCAAAACAACCUAAAUGAGAAUCGAAGGUCUCAACAUUAGUAGCGCAACGGCGAAAAGUCUGACGAAAACGGACAUCGGAUGAAGAAGUUAUGGAAUUUUAACGGACUUUUCGUGUCCCGGCCCGUUAAAAAUAAAUAAUUAAAAAUAAAUUCAAAAUUUGCCGAUGAAGUCUAAACGAGAGUUGUAGAUCAUAUUUUUAGCUACGCGUGCAUAUAAAGAACGUCGAAAACGGAGCUCGUAUGCGAAAGUUAUGGAUUUUACAAGUUCGGGGUCCAAAAUCCGAGGCUGUCAGGCCCCCAGACGUGGCACAAGCUUGCCGCGACCCGGCAAGUGACUGAGGGCGUCCAAUCAAUGGAAGAGGAUAGGUUUGACUCCCCACGACGUGGCCAUCACUUGCCACGACGUGGCACACCCCAAAAAUGCCCCUAUAAAUAGAUUUCAAGGGCUCCGAGUUCCAUUGCUCAGUUCCCUUCUUUCUCGCGCCGAAACUCUGCGUUUAAGCCCCCGAGACCCUCCCAAAGCCCCGGUUUUCACCUUCAAGUCCCGAAGGAAGGUUUUGUGUUCUCGAGAUUCCCGAGAUUCCCGAGAAUCCCGAUAUUUUCCCGCGUUUUCAACUCUUCCUGUCGAAGUUCUGCUCGAUUCUUCUCUCGACUACUUCAAAUCAACCACUUCAAUCAAGUGAGUUCAUACCCCUACAACCACACUUUAAAUGCUUUUUAAAUGCUUUUGAAACACUUUUAAGGGGGGGAAUACAAGUAAACACACAACUAAAAUCGUGUGAAACAUCGAUCUUUUUAUAUACUUUUCAUACUGUUGUUUUAAACUAUCUUAUGAAGUUAUUAUCAUGCAAAACACCUCACAACACAACUUUACCCUCUUGGGAUACAAUAUGUUUUAUAAAUAGAAAUAGGUUUUAUUUAUACGUUUGCAUACUACAUCAUAUCAAGAGUAACCAUUUCAAAUAUAACAUGAUGCUUUUACAAGAAAACUCAACUCAUCAUCACGUUUUUGUAACACGGUAGAAAACGAAAUCAUUUCAUACGAACGAUUUUCAUCAUAUUACUCGUGAACUUGUUGUUAGCAAUCAUGUGAUGGCAUAUGGCUUUGUUUGUACCAAACGAAAGUCCUCACCUAUAACCAGAGUCUCCUGGAGGGAGAGCGUGACAAGUGUGUAUAGAUCUAUACGGGGCUGACAACUCCGCACCCUGACUGUUAGCUACAGUCCGUCAUUUGGGGUGACAAACGUCAACAUUAGGUACUGCGUCUAGUAUGGUUAUGAGGAACUCACAACACGCGGAAACAAUGACUCAUGCACGUAGUAAUACUUAACUCAAUCAUGCUCGAGGGGUAAUAACUAUAUUCUAGGGUAUUAUCGGCAUGAUCAAAACUCAGGUUAAAACACUUCCAUAACUAGUUUUACUUAACAAUAAGACUACACUUCAUACUUACAAAACAUUCGGGUCUUGGUAGAAGACUACACUUCAUACUUACAAAACAUUCGGGUCUUGGUAGAAGACUACACUUC